rnacentral:rRNA from 1 species
GGAUUAGAUACCCUGGUAGUCCACGCCGUAAACGAUGUCUACUAGCCGUAGGGUUCCUUGAGGACUUUGUGGCGUAGCUAACGCGCUAAGUAGACCGCCUGGGGAGUACGGCCGCAAGGUUAAAACUCAAAUGAAUUGACGGGGGCCCGCACAAGCGGUGGAGCAUGUGGUUUAAUUCGAUGCAACGCGAAGAACCUUACCAGGUCUUGACAUCCAGAUAAUUUAGCAGAAAUGUUUUAGUGCCUUCGGGAAAUCUGAGACAGGUGCUGCAUGGCUGUCGUCAGCUCGUGCCG